UACGAAGGGGGCUAGCGUUGUUCGGAAUUACUGGGCGUAAAGUGCACGUAGGCGGGUUGUUAAGUCAGGGGUGAAAUCCUGGAGCUCAACUCCAGAACUGCCUUUGAUACUGGCAACCUAGAGACUGGAAGAGGUUAGUGGAAUUCCCAGUGUAGAGGUGAAAUUCGUAGAUAUUGGGAAGAACACCAGUGGCGAAGGCGGCUAACUGGUCCAGCACUGACGCUGAGGUGCGAAAGCGUGGGGAGCAAACAGG
rnacentral:rRNA from 1 species